UACGGAGGAUCCAAGCGUUAUCCGGAUUUAUUGGGUUAAAGGGUGCGUAGGCGGCCUGUUAAGUCAGAGGUGAAAGACGGUAGCUCAACUAUCGCAGUGCCUUUGAUACUGACGGGCUUGAAUAAACUAGAGGUAGGCGGAAUGAGACAAGUAGCGGUGAAAUGCAUAGAUAUGUCUCAGAACACCGAUUGCGAAGGCAGCUUACUAUGGUUUUAAUUGACGCUGAGGCACGAAAGCGUGGGGAUCAAACAGG
rnacentral:rRNA from 1 species